rnacentral:rRNA from 1 species
UUUCCGGUUGAUCCCGCCGGACCUGACUGCUAUCGGAAUGAUACUAAGCCAUGUGAGUCAUUGUAGCAAUACAAGGCAGACGGCUCAGUAACACGUAGCCAAUCUAACCUAUGGACGGGGAUAACCUCGGGAAACUGAGGAUAAACCCCGAUAGAUCAUUAUGCCUGGAAAGGUUUAUGGUCCAAAUGAUUUAUCGCCGUAGGAUGGGACUGCGGCCUAUCAGUUUGUUGGUGAGGUAAUGGCCCACCAAGACUAUUACAGGUACGGGCUCUGAGAGGAGUAGCCCGGAGAUGGGUACUGAGACACGGACCCAGGCCCUAUGGGGCGCAGCAGGCGAGAAAACUUUGCAAUGUGCGAAAGCACGACAAGGUUAAUCCGAGUGGUUUGUGCUAAACGAACCUUUUGACAGUCCUAGAAACACUGUUGAAUAAGGGGUGGGCAAGUUCUGGUGUCAGCCGCCGCGGUAAAACCAGCACCUCAAGUGGUCAGGAUGAUUAUUGGGCCUAAAGCAUCCGUAGCCGGCUCUGUAAGUUUUCGGUUAAAUCUGUACGCUUAACGUACAGGCUGCCGGGAAUACUGCAGAGCUAGGGAGUGGGAGAGGUAGACGGUACUCGGUAGGAAGGGGUAAAAUCCUUUGAUCUAUUGAUGACCACCUGUGGCGAAGGCGGUCUACCAGAACACGUCCGACGGUGAGGGAUGAAAGCUGGGGGAGCAAACCGGAUUAGAUACCCGGGUAGUCCCAGCUGUAAACUAUGCAAACUCAGUGAUGCAUUGGCUUGUGGCCAAUGCAGUGCUGCAGGGAAGCCGUUAAGUUUGCCGCCUGGGAAGUACGUACGCAAGUAUGAAACUUAAAGGAAUUGGCGGGGGAGCACCACAAGGGGUGAAGCCUGCGGUUCAAUUGGAGUCAACGCCGGG